rnacentral:rRNA from 1 species
CACGUAGGGUGCGAGCGUUUGUCCGGAAUUAUUGGGCGUAAAGAGCUCGUAGGCGGUGUGUCGCGUCGGCCGUGAAAACCUGCAGCUUAACUGUGGGCUUGCGGUCGAUACGGGCAUCACUGGAGUUCGGCAGGGGAGACUGGAAUUCCCGGUGUAGCGGUGAAAUGCGCAGAUAUCAGGAGGAACACCGGUGGCGAAGGCGGGUCUCUGGGCCGAUACUGACGCUGAGGAGCGAAAGCGUGGGGAGCGAACAGG